rnacentral:rRNA from 1 species
AUUGAACGCUGGCGGAAUGCUUUACACAUGCAAGUCGAACGGCAGCACGGACUUCGGUCUGGUGGCGAGUGGCGAACGGGUGAGUAACAUAUCGGAACGUAUCCAAUAAUGGGGGAUGACUAAUCGAAAGGUUGGCUAAUACCGCAUACGCCCUACGGGGGAAAGCAGGGGAUCUUCGGACCUUGCGUUAAUGGAGCGGCGGAUAUCUGAUUAGCUAGUUGGUGAGGUAAAGGCUCACCAAGGCGACGAUCAGUAGCUGGUCUGAGAGGACGACCAGCCACACUGGAACUGAGACACGGUCCAGACUCCUACGGGAGGCAGCAGUGGGGAAUUUUGGACAAUGGGCGCAAGCCUGAUCCAGCCAUUCCGCGUGAGUGAAGAAGGCCUUCGGGUUGUAAAGCUCUUUCGCAAGGGAAGAAAACUUACUUUCUAAUAAAGAGUGAGGUUGACGGUACCUUGAUAAGAAGCACCGGCUAACUACGUGCCAGCAGCCGCCGUAA